GGGUUGUGAGGUUAAGCGACUAAGCGUACACGGUGGAUGCCCUGGCAGUCAGAGGCGAUGAAGGACGUGCUAAUCUGCGAAAAGCGCCGGCGAGGUGAUAUGAACCUUUGACCCGGCGAUGUCCGAAUGGGGAAACCCAGUGUGAUUCGUCACACUAUCGUUAACUGAAUACAUAGGUUAACGAGGCGAACCGGGGGAACUGAAACAUCUAAGUACCCCGAGGAAAAGAAAUCAACCGAGAUUCCCCCAGUAGCGGCGAGCGAACGGGGAGCAGCCCAGAGUCUGAAUCAGCUUGUGUGUUAGUGGAAGCGUCUGGAAAGUCGCACGGUACAGGGUGACAGUCCCGUACACGAAAAUGCACAGGUUGUGAACUCGAAGAGUAGGGCGGGACACGUGGUAUCCUGUCUGAAUAUGGGGGGACCAUCCUCCAAGGCUAAAUACUCCUGACUGACCGAUAGUGAACCAGUACCGUGAGGGAAAGGCGAAAAGAACCCCGGCGAGGGGAGUGAAAAAGAACCUGAAACCGUGUACGUACAAGCAGUGGGAGCACCUUCGUGGUGUGACUGCGUACCUUUUGUAUAAUGGGUCAGCGACUUAUAUUCUGUAGCAAGGUUAACCGUAUAGGGGAGCCGAAGGGAAACCGAGUCUUAACUGGGCGUUAAGUUGCAGGGUAUAGACCCGAAACCCGGUGAUCUAGCCAUGGGCAGGUUGAAGGUUGGGUAACACUAACUGGAGGACCGAACCGACUAAUGUUGAAAAAUUAGCGGAUGACUUGUGGCUGGGGGUGAAAGGCCAAUCAAACCGGGAGAUAGCUGGUUCUCCCCGAAAGCUAUUUAGGUAGCGCCUCGUGAACUCAUCUUCGGGGGUAGAGCACUGUUUCGGCUAGGGGGCCAUCCCGGCUUACCAACCCGAUGCAAACUACGAAUACCGAAGAAUGUUAUCACGGGAGACACACGGCGGGUGCUAACGUCCGUCGUGAAGAGGGAAACAACCCAGACCGCCAGCUAAGGUCCCAAAGUCAUGGUUAAGUGGGAAACGAUGUGGGAAGGCACAGACAGCCAGGAUGUUGGCUUAGAAGCAGCCAUCAUUUAAAGAAAGCGUAAUAGCUCACUGGUCGAGUCGGCCUGCGCGGAAGAUGUAACGGGGCUAAACCAUGCACCGAAGCUGCGGCAGCGACACUAUGUGUUGUUGGGUAGGGGAGCGUUCUGUAAGCCGUUGAAGGUGUGCUGUGAGGCAUGCUGGAGGUAUCAGAAGUGCGAAUGCUGACAUAAGUAACGAUAAAGCGGGUGAAAAGCCCGCUCGCCGGAAGACCAAGGGUUCCUGUCCAACGUUAAUCGGGGCAGGGUGAGUCGACCCCUAAGGCGAGGCCGAAAGGCGUAGUCGAUGGGAAACAGGUUAAUAUUCCUGUACUUGGUGUUACUGCGAAGGGGGGACGGAGAAGGCUAUGUUAGCCGGGCGACGGUUGUCCCGGUUUAAGCAUGUAGGCGGAACGAUUAGGUAAAUCCGGUCGUUUAUUAACGCUGAGGUGUGAUGACGAGGCACUACGGUGCUGAAGUAACAAAUGCCCUGCUUCCAGGAAAAGCCUCUAAGCAUCAGGUAACAUUAAAUCGUACCCCAAACCGACACAGGUGGUCAGGUAGAGAAUACCAAGGCGCUUGAGAGAACUCGGGUGAAGGAACUAGGCAAAAUGGUGCCGUAACUUCGGGAGAAGGCACGCUGAUAUGUAGGUGAAGCCCCUGCGGGUGGAGCUGAAAUCAGUCGAAGAUACCAGCUGGCUGCAACUGUUUAUUAAAAACACAGCACUGUGCAAACACGAAAGUGGACGUAUACGGUGUGACGCCUGCCCGGUGCCGGAAGGUUAAUUGAUGGGGUUAGCGGCAACGCGAAGCUCUUGAUCGAAGCCCCGGUAAACGGCGGCCGUAACUAUAACGGUCCUAAGGUAGCGAAAUUCCUUGUCGGGUAAGUUCCGACCUGCACGAAUGGCGUAAUGAUGGCCAGGCUGUCUCCACCCGAGACUCAGUGAAAUUGAACUCGCUGUGAAGAUGCAGUGUACCCGCGGCAAGACGGAAAGACCCCGUGAACCUUUACUAUAGCUUGACACUGAACACUGGUCCUUGAUGUGUAGGAUAGGUGGGAGGCUUUGAAGUGUGGACGCCAGUCUGCAUGGAGCCGUCCUUGAAAUACCACCCUUUAAUGGCUGGUGUUCUAACGUAGACCCGUGAUCCGGGUUGCGGACAGUGUCUGGUGGGUAGUUUGACUGGGGCGGUCUCCUCCCAAAGAGUAACGGAGGAGCACGAAGGUUAGCUAAUCCUGGUCGGACAUCAGGAGGUUAGUGCAAUGGCAUAAGCUAGCUUGACUGCGAGAGUGACGGCUCGAGCAGGUGCGAAAGCAGGUCAUAGUGAUCCGGUGGUUCUGAAUGGAAGGGCCAUCGCUCAACGGAUAAAAGGUACUCCGGGGAUAACAGGCUGAUACCGCCCAAGAGUUCAUAUCGACGGCGGUGUUUGGCACCUCGAUGUCGGCUCAUCACAUCCUGGGGCUGAAGUAGGUCCCAAGGGUAUGGCUGUUCGCCAUUUAAAGUGGUACGCGAGCUGGGUUUAGAACGUCGUGAGACAGUUCGGUCCCUAUCUGCCGUGGGCGCUGGAGAAUUGAGGGGGGCUGCUCCUAGUACGAGAGGACCGGAGUGGACGCAUCACUGGUGUUCGGGUUGUCAUGCCAAUGGCACUGCCCGGUAGCUAAAUGCGGAAAAGAUAAGUGCUGAAAGCAUCUAAGCACGAAACUUGCCCCGAGAUGAGUUCUCCCUGAGACUUUAAGUCUCCUGAAGGAACGUUGAAGACGACGACGUUGAUAGGUCGGGUGUGUAAGCGCAGCGAUGCGUUGAGCUAACCGAUACUAAUGAACCGUGAGGCUUAACCUUACAACGCCGAAG
rnacentral:rRNA from 1 species